AAUAAUGUGCUUGAUAAAAAGGUUGCUUUGAUGUAGCAAAAAUGAGGGUCCUACCCCUCCAUUAUUA
rnacentral:tRNA from 1 species